AGCGUGUCCCGCGCCGCAGACUUGGAAUGGUUUUCCAGCCGGUAAGCUGUGACACCGCACUGCCCACGACGCAAGAGAACAGCCCGGCUCGCAGUCGCUGUGGCCUGUGCUCCUAGCGAAAGGUCCUGCCUCUGGAAGUCACAAGUGUUCCAUUUCUGGGUGUCCUUUGGGAUGUAUUCAUUCAGGAACCAUGUGCCACUGACGCCACAACAAGCAUUUUCAGGGGUUUGUACCGAGAUUUACUGACUUCGUGUCUUACUUCACGAUGACUCCAGCUAUUAGAUACAGAAAAUCUCUCUCCCCACUUGAAAACAUCCUUUAUUCAGAGCGAUGUAAUAUUAGCAGAUCUUUGCCAAACAACUGACCCACAAUGGGGUGAUCCUUGGAGACAAUGGAGCACCGUGUGCAUUGUGCCCGUUUUCUACCCCAUUCAUGACCCAUUCGAUCACUUCCUUCUAGAUGCUUGGAUGAAUCCGCAUCGCGAGAGAGUGCCGUGGCCUGCGUUCUGACAGGUGGGGCAGGCUCAGGGCGAGGAGCGCCCAGCUGCGCUGUGCCUGCUGCUGGAAGCACGGGACUUGCCCUGGCCGCCCUCUGCUGGGGGGGGGGGCUGGGGGGGAGGUUCUCCACCCCGGAAACACAUCCGAGGCUGCUGGCCCAUCUAGGGCCCAGUCCUUUGUUCUGCGUGACUUCCUUGGCCCGUCCCGUAUGGACCAGGCAACCUCACCUGAGAGUGCUCCCAAUAAAGGCCUUUUACAUUUA